CGUGGGGAGAUUUCCAGACCCAAGUCUUUGGUGGUGGUGUCGAGGAAGGGACGGAAGCCUCAGAACGUAGGUCCCCCGUACCCCAGCCCCAGGAGAAACCAGAAGUGCAGGUGCUGGGCCCAUCCCAGCUGAGAAGGCAGUGAUUCCUGGCGUCAUUAUCUCAAGGGCGAUGUGCGUGCGCAGUGGGAGGGGUGAUGGUUAGUGGGUCCCGCCACCCCACUUUGGGAUCCAGGGCUGGUGAAGUGUGGUGGUUCCCGACGCUGAGCCCUCCAUGCCCUCGUGCUCCCGGCCCCCUGUCCCUAUACCUGUCAUUUUAUUUCCCUUUCCUGAUUCAUUAACCACAAGCUAGUUGGCCACAGGCCCCACCCUGAUCACUUGGAGACAAAAUGUUCAGGACACUGGGCCGGGGCUGGAGCUGAGGGUGGCAGGAAGCUGGGCCGGGCCUCCGUGUUCACAGGGACAGUGGUCCAGGAGCGCCUCGAGGGCAGACCGCCCCUGUUCUCCAGGAGGGCCUUCUCGGGGCCCUUGUCUCCCAAGAUGACUCUUCCUCACUACCCGAAGCCCUGAAACCAGCAUUCCCAGCGGCAGGAAGAUGGAUGAGCUGGCCUCCACUUCCGGCUCUCCUCCCCCGCGCCGGCUGGAACUUGCGUCAGUCGUGGCUGCUCGGUUGCGGUGGGAAGACCUGGAGGCUUCAGCACGCUGGGGCUUUCCCAGGCCGCCUUCCUCCAGAUCCAGGAGGCCUCCGGGCUGGGUGCCAGGGAGAGCGUGCCGCUUCCAGCCACCUUGGAUCACCUGGCUGGGUGCAACUUGGGGACAGAACCAGCGGCUGGGUUCAGGUAAGCGAGUCGCUCCCUGCCCGACUGACUUGGAGAAAGAAGCUUGGUUCUGUCGGGAGGUCUGAGACUUCAACAGACCCUUUUAUCUGGUGGGCUUGGGAGCGCAAAAGCUUUGGACCCUAA
ensembl:lncRNA